GGUUCGAUUCUGGCCUGAUUGAAUGCUGGCGGAUGUCUUACACAUGCGAAGAACGGCAAUGGGACUUCGGUCUGGAACAGAAGAAAGCGGCGAACGGGUGAUAAUGGUCCUGAAACGUGCUCUAGUAAAUGGGGAUAACUACGCGAAAAAUGCAGCUGACAUCGCACACACCUUCGUAGUGUUGGGGAUCCGUACUUCGCACUAUUAGAGCUGCUGAUAUCGGAUUAGCUAGUUGGUGGGGUAACGGCUCACUAAGGCGGACAUCCGCAGCUGUUCGAGAGGACGACCAGCCACAUCAAACAGGAGACACGGCCCAGACUACCUGGAGGCAGCAGGGUAGGGAAUUUGGACAACAAGAACCCUGAUCCAGCCAUCCCGCGUGAUGAAGGCCUUGCCAAAAGCACUUUGGCAGGAGGCGAAAAGCAUAACGGGAUAACACCGUGCAACUGAUGGUACCAUAAGAAUUAAUCGGCUAACUGCUGCGCCGCAGCCAGCGGUACAUUGCUGUGAGGUGCAAGCGUUAAUCUGAAUUUAUCAAUGGCAGGCGUUCGGGAAAGAAAGACGCAGAAAAUCCCAGAGGCCCAACUCGGGAACUGUAUUUUAUCCACUGAGCUAGAGUGUGUCAGAGGGAGGUGGAAUUCGCGUGUAGCGGGUGAAAAUGCAAUGCGUAGAUAGCGGAGGAACACCACGGCGGCGCAGCCUCUGAUAACACUGACGCCUGGCACGAAAGCGUGGGGAGCAAACAGGAUUAUUACCCGUAGUCCACGCCCAAACGAUGUCAACUAGCUGUUGGGGCCUUCGCCUUGGUAGCGCGCUAACGCGGUGAAGUUGACCGCCUGGGGAGUACGGUCGCAAGAUUAAACUCAACAAUUGACGGGGAUCCGCAUCACAGAUGAUGAUUAACUGAUGCAACGCGAAAAACCACUUGGCCUCUUGACAUGUCUGAAUCCCGAAGAGAUUGGGAGUGCUCGUAAGAGAACCGGAACACAGGUGCGUAUGGCUGUUGCCAGCUCGUGUCGUGAGAUGUUGGGUUAAGUCCCGCAACGAGCGUAACCCUUGCUGUCAUUGCUACGAAAGGGUGAAUUAAUGAUCGCGCAGAUAAACUGAGGAAGGUAAAGAUGACGUCAAGUCCUCAUGGCCCUUGCGUCGCGCUUCACACGUCAUACAAUGGUCGGGACAGAGGGUCACAACCCGCGAGGGGGAGCCAAUCCCAGAAACCGAUUCAGAACCGCUGAUCGCAGCCCGCAAACUCGACUGCGUGAAGUCGGAAUCGCUAGUAACGUACGAUCAGCAUGUCGCGGUGAAUACGUUCCUGGGUCUUGUACACACCGCCUGUCACAUCCCAUGGAGUGUGGGUUUCACUAGAAGUAAACGGAAGCCCUAACCAACAAGGAGUGGCGAUUACCACGGCAUAUGAUCUAUGAUCAAUGGAGUUGUAACAAGGUAAU
rnacentral:rRNA from 1 species